CUUGGGACAUUUUACGAUAGGGGCUUUCCAGACAUUUUAAAAUGGGGGCAUUCCUUUAAAGUCAAUGUGUUAGCAAGUGAUAACACCUGUUUGGCCUGUGCACCUGAGCAAAUACUGUUUGUGGUUCUCAGCUUUAUAAGCCCUCUGUUUCCCAAGAGUAAAUGAGACUUGAACAGAAUAUUUGUCUUGUCUCUUUCCUUCCCAUCUCCUGAUCACAAUUUGUCAUUGUUGCUCCUUUCUCCGAGUCCCCUGUUGCUUAAGUCCUGCAGGUUUGGGCACCUGGUGCCCAACAGUGAGACUCAAGUACAAAGGGACCAGUGAAGAUCACUGCAGUGUUUUUGGUUGGCUGACAAAUUUUGUGUGGAAGAAGGCUUAUGCGGAACCUGCCUCCUCGACUAAGGAUCCUGCA
rnacentral:lncRNA from 1 species